CUUGAGCGAGGGCGGCGCUUCCCGGGCGCGAGUGACGGAGUCGCGCUUAGCCGCGCCAAGGGGUCGCUGCAGGCUGCCCCGCCCUUCCGAGGGACCCAGUCCUCGCUGAGACGGCCUGGGCUUGGCCCGACCCUGGAGCCGCCAGGAAAGAUGGCAAGGAAGGGUCUUGGGCGGAUCUAAAUCCCUGCGGUGCUGCCUCCUAACAAAGACCGUCGGAUGGGCGUGAGAUAAAUGGGGAGGGGGUUCCCCUACCCUAAAACNNNNNNNNNNNNNNNNNNUUCCUGCUGGACAAGCCCGGACCUCCUGUCUUCAGAUGAUUCCAUAAAACGUGUGCUCGUUUCUGUCAAGCUAGCAGCCAAGAGGAGCGAUCUUCGGGCGAUGCAUUAAGUCACCGAAAUUAACCAGAGCACGCCAGUGCAAAGGGCCAAACAGUGGCCCUAAGGACAGAAAACCUGAAUAUCUACAGACCCUUUCCUGCAACAUUAAGCUGUGUUUAGUUGAAGUUUACUAAUUUAAGAUUUUGCUUCUUCCUCAGACUGACCAAGAACACAAGAAAGUCUCCCGCCUUUUAGACGAAGACGUUUGUUAGAAUCUCAGAGUUUUCGCUGCGCUCCGGGGAUUCAGAGAUCAUCCAAGAUAAGGGCGGAUGCCCCAACACCCGCCCGUGGACAGGACACAGCAGGAGUCACUUCGGGGAGACCCUCAGGCUGAGACCCCUUCGAGAGCCAGCCGGCACUGCGGAGCUAGGCCUGCCCUAGACAGCCGUUGGCGCUGGUUCGCCUUCUGCACGCUCACUGGCAGGGACUGGGCUCUGCAGUGGGAGGUAGGACCCGAGGCAGAGCCACAGAGCCCUUCUGAAGAGCAGCUCUGCGCUGUGUCCCUCGGGCCCAUGGAGACUUGGUUCUCACCCGACUGGACAACUGCGAUCUCUUCCAGAUCCAAAUAAAAAACAAGCGGACGCCUGGACGCAGGAUCCGGGCCGGGCGGUACUUCUCCGCGGACAAACAGCUCCCGGGAGGAGCGCCUUCGAUCUCAGUCCGGGGCAAAUAAUCUGGAUAACCUUUAAAUGGAACAUAGUUAAAAUCUUAUUCACUGAAAAGAUUCCAAUCAACAAAAUCUACACAAAAUUGGAAAAGAAUUAUGUUAUCCUUAAGCAACCUUCAGAAUGUCAUCCAUAACCCGACCAUCCCCUAUGUUGGCACCAUUUCUGAGCAGUUGGAGGCUGGGUCCUUGGUUGUCACCCGUGGCCAUGUUCCUAGUCGUGCUGAGCGAUUCCAGGUGGCUCUGCAGUGCGCGGCAGCAUGAAGCCCGGACGAUGUGGCCUUUCACUUCAACCCCCGCUUCAAGCGGGCUGACCACAUUGUAUGCAACACUGACACAUGGAAGGUGGGGAUGGGAGGAGAUCGCCUAUGACAGGUCCUUCCAAAAGGAAAGCUCUUUGAAAUCAUGAUCAUGGUGCUGAAGGACAGAUUCCAGGGUUUACAAAGUACCCAAGCAUCCACUCUAGGACUGACAAACAUAAAUAGAGAAGAUGCACCAAGGUCCGGCAUUUCACAGUUUACCCUGCCCUUCGAAGCAAGGUUGGAUCCCCAUGGGCCCUGGACGAACUGUAGUCAUUAAAGGAGAAGUGAACACGAAGGCCAAAAGCUUUGUUGAUCUAAUAGCAGGAAAACCAAAGGAUAUUGCUCUAAAUUGAACCCAUGCCUGAAUAUUAAAGCACUUGUAAGAAAUUCUUUUCUUAAUGAUGCCUGGGGAGAAGAAGAGAGAAAUAUUACCUUCUUUCCAUUCAGGCCUGGGAUGUACUUUGAGAUGAUAAGUUAUUGUGAUGUUAGAGAUUUCAAGGUUGCCAUCAAUGGAGCACACAGCCUGGAGUACAAUCACAGAUUUCAGAGCUGGGCAGCAUCGACACAGUGGCCGUCAACAGUGAUAUCCACUUACUGGAAGCAAGGAGCUGGUAACCCCCAGGAGUGCCGCAAACCCAAAUACAGAAUGGCUGUGUGAUCUUGGCUGUGUCAAAGUGCACCUCACUGUUCCCGCCUUGUUGAAAUUGCCCUUCUGUAGCAUUAAGUCCCACUGUUGUCCCAUGGCCCUGAGGGGAAAUCUGAGGCGACAGCCACAUACAGCCUUUGAAGCAACGGCUUUUUCCCCACAUGGCCUCUUUUGAAACCACACUCAAGAAGUAUUUAUUAAGUGCCUACUGUAACACAGCCACUAACUGGCAUUGAGCACACUUUCCGUCAGCAGUGACAGGAGCAGGUGCACACACAUGGUGGUGCGGAGGCAGUGUCCCUCUUCUCUGGGAACCGAAGUCCAAGGGCUUCAGUGCUUUGCCCGUGUACACUGCCUGCCUUGUUGGGUCUAUUGGGUUAAGGGUCAUGCUGCUAUUCAGUCACAUAAAAUACUAAUUUCCAGAAGACACCACUCCUUUCCCAGAGACUCCUUUCACAAUGAGCAUCUAUGGUGUCCCAGUCAAGAGGACUGAUGUCAACUGUCAUCUGCCAGUGAAUCUGUAGCACAAUAAACAUAUAGCUCUCCUUGCUAUAAGCUUUACCAAAUAAUUAACAUGAAUAUGACAUCUGAGCUCAGCAGAAAAGUUAAGGCCAAAAGCAAACACCCCCACCCCCAAAACCAACCAACCAACCAAAAAACAACCCCAAACAAUGCACCCAUCGUGUUGACUCAAAAAAAUAAAAAACAAGAAUGAAGUAUGGUUUCUUUUGUAAGCCUUUUUCUGUUCUGUUUUUUCAGCUAUAUAGCUCCUUUUCUAACCACAGUAUAAGUUUAUCUGCUUUACAAAGUGAGGAACUAUAAAAAUAAGCCCUUUCUUUAAGAAAAACUCCCCUUGGAAGCCAAAUGUCUGGUGAAAGCUAGAUGGCCAUUCACCCCUGUGAGAACCGUGAAGUUCCUACCCUGACUGAGUCACAUAGGUUACCAUGGAUACAGCCACCUCUACCCUUAGCCCACGGUGAGGAGCAACAGCUGUUGAACCACAUUUGGGACUUUUGCCAUUCUGUUCUAUAUAAAUGGUAUUUGGUGAAACGGUUUAGAUAAUGUCACAAUUGUUUUUGAAAGAUUAAAAACAAGCAAGUUACAGGAAACAUCUGAAACAUUAAGUAGCAGCAAGGUACGGAAAUUUAACCGGUGAAAUGGGGUAAGAAGCAACAAGCAUUGUACAAUACUACAUUUAAUAUAAAAGGCAAGGCUUUUCUUCAAAAUUUCCCCUAACCAAAAUAGUACUUUAAAAACUAAACUGAUAGCUGCAGGUAAAAUUAAUGUGGGAGAUUCUUUGAGGAGUGCAUACUUAAACUCCCUGGGCAAAAUACACAAAACACUAUUCAGUUUAAACUAUUAUUUCUAAAGGAAGGAAUUGGUGUUCUGGGUUUUGAUGAUCACUACACUUCUCAACACCUUCAACUCAGC
rnacentral:lncRNA from 1 species